rnacentral:snRNA from 1 species
UCGAUUCAUUUGGCACCACAUAUCCUAAAACUGGAACAAUACAGAGAAGAUUAGCAUGGCCCCUGCACAAGGAUGACAUGCAAAUUUGUGAAGUGUUCCAUUAAAAA